rnacentral:rRNA from 1 species
CCGAGUUUACAACUCCCAAACCCAAUGUGAACGUUACCAAACUGUUGCCUCGGCGGGGUCACGCCCCGGGUGCGUCGCAGCCCCGGAACCAGGCGCCCGCCGGAGGAACCAACCAAACUCUUUCUGUAGUCCCCUCGCGGACGUAUUUCUUACAGCUCUGAGCAAAAAUUCAAAAUGAAUCA